rnacentral:lncRNA from 1 species
UCUCAAAAAAAAAAAAAGGGGAAGUCUAAUUACUUAUGAAUUCCUCAGAUAAGGAGUAUUGCCUCUGGAUGGUCCACUUGAUAGCCACCAGGUGAUCUUUGCUCUCCUCAGUUCUCAGUCCUUGGAUAUUGUUAGGGACAAACUGCCCAAAGAAAGCUUCUUUGGUGCUGCCCACCCCUCCCCCUAAUGCUCUGCAACUCUUCUCUGUGCCACCCACCCUUCCCCAAGUCUCUUUACAUUUCUAAGCCCUUAUCAAGGGCCAUGGUGAAGCCAGCCGACUUUCACUUAUCAGACCUUGCUGCGAUAAGCAAACCCCAAUUACAAACCACUCAGACCGCAUAGGGGAAGGUUGUGGGAAGCAUAAACAAACUUUACCUACACCCUCCUGUAAUAAACGUCACAAGGUGAUAUGUGGCAAAAUUAACCAGCAAACAACCCCAGGAUGCGGCCAUACCAAAGAACUCCCUCAAGCUACUUUCCCCAAUAUAAACCCCUCAUUCUGUAAGCUUGGUGCUGCUUCCCUUGACUGUUAAGGGGUCAGCCGGCAGGUUAAUAAAAACUUGCUCGCCUGACUUUGGGUCUAUUUUUCCUUUCUCUUGGCUGACCUUACAUUCUGGUGCCGAAACCGGGAAGGGGAUAGACUCUGGCCGGCUCUCGCUCUCUGUCUCUCUCUCUCUCACUCUCUCUUUCUCUCUCUCUCUCCCCCUCCCUCCCCUAUCACCUAUCUCCUGGCCAGUCUCUCCCCUUCCCUGAACCUGCCGAAGUCCCAGAGAAUCUCCUAGACUCUCCCACUGCUGACGACUUCAUCCACCAUCAAAGCCUCCGCCAGGCUCCUCGGCCUAGCCACUGAAGACUGACAAGGCCCAGGGCCCCUGGCCCCCACUGCCAUCACUGCAUGGAGCCCAGUGUAACUCUACUGGUAGCAGAAGGAGUCUUGCUCUGUCGCCCAGGCUGGAGUGCGGU